rnacentral:rRNA from 1 species
UACGUAGGUGGCGAGCGUUAUCCGGAUUUACUGGGUGUAAAGGGCGUGUAGGCGGUUUUUCAAGUCGGAUGUGAAAUUCCCAGGCUUAACCUGGGCGCUGCAACCGAAACUGAGAAACUUGAGUACUGGAGAGGAUAGUGGAAUUCCUAGUGUAGCGGUAAAAUGCGUAGAUAUUAGGAGGAACACCGGUGGCGAAGGCGACUAUCUGGACAGUAACUGACGCUGAGGCGCGAAAGCGUGGGGAGCAAACAGGAUUAGAUACCCUGGUAGUCCACGCCGUAAACGAUGGAUACUAGGUGUAGGGGGUAUCGACCCCCCCUGUGCCGGAGUUAACACAAUAAGUAUCCCACCUGGGGAGUACGGCCGCAAGGCUGAA